CGCAAUGGACGAAAGUCUGACGGAGCAACGCCGCGUGAACGAUGAAGGCUUUCGGGUCGUAAAGUUCUGUUGUCAGGGAAGAACAAGUACCGGAGUAACUGCCGGUACCUUGACGGUACCUGACCAGAAAGCCACGGCUAACUACGUGCCAGCAGCCGCGGUAAUACGUAGGUGGCAAGCGUUGUCCGGAAUUAUUGGGCGUAAAGCGCGCGCAGGCGGUUCCUUAAGUCUGAUGUGAAAGCCCCCGGCUCAACCGGGGAGGGUCAUUGGAAACUGGGGAACUUGAGUGCAGAAGAGGAGAGCGGAAUUCCACGUGUAGCGGUGAAAUGCGUAGAGAUGUGGAGGAACACCAGUGGCGAAGGCGGCUCUCUGGUCUGUAACUGACGCUGAGGCGCGAAAGCGUGGGGAGCAAACAGGAUUAGAUACCCUGGUAGUCCACGCCGU
rnacentral:rRNA from 1 species